rnacentral:rRNA from 1 species
AUACGUAGGGGGCGAGCGUUGUCCGGAAUGAUUGGGCGUAAAGGGCGCGUAGGCGGCCCGGUAAGUCUGGAGUGAAAGUCCUGUUUUUAAGAUGGGAAUUGCUUUGGAUACUGUCGGGCUUGAGUGCAGGAGAGGUAAGUGGAAUUCCCAGUGUAGCGGUGAAAUGCGUAGAGAUUGGGAGGAACACCAGUGGCGAAGGUGACUUACUGGACUGUAACUGACGCUGAGGCGCGAAAGUGUGGGGAGCAAACAGGAUUAGAUACCCUGGUAGUCCACACUGUAAACGAUGAAUGCUAGGUGUAGGGGGUAUCGACCCCUUCUGUGCCGCAGUCAACACAAUAAGCAUUCCGCCUGGGGAGUACGGCCGCAAGGUUGAAACUCAAAGGAAUUGACGGGG